AGAGUUUGAUCCUGGCUCAGGACGAACGCUGGCGGCGUGCCUAACACAUGCAAGUCGAGCGAAUGAAGUUCCUUCGGGAAUGGAUUUAGCGGCGGACGGGUGAGUAACACGUGGGCAACCUGCCUCAUAGAGGGGAAUAGCCUUCCGAAAGGGAGAUUAAUACCGCAUAAGAUUGUAGUACCGCAUGGUACAGCAAUUAAAGGAGCAAUCCGCUAUGAGAUGGGCCCGCGGCGCAUUAGUUAGUUGGUGAGGUAAUGGCUCACCAAGGCGAUGAUAGGUAGGCGGCCUUAACGGGUGGUCGCCCACACUGGGAUUGAGAUACGGCCCAGACUCCUACGGGAGGCAGCAGUCGAGAAUAGUCUACAAUGGACGAAAGUCUGAUAGUGCGACGCCGCGUGAACGAAGACUCCCUAACAGGGUGUAAAGUUCUUUUAUAUGUGAGCAAUGGGUUAUAUAUUAAUAGUAUGUAGCCAGAGAUAUUAGCAUAUGAAUAAGCAACGGCUAACUCCGUGCCAGCAGCCGCGGUAACACGGGGGUUGCAAGCGUUGUCCGGAAUUACUAGGCGUAAAGGGCAGGUAGGCGGAUCAGUAAGUUUGAUGUCAAAUCCAUCGGCUCACCCGAUGAUCGGCAUCAGAUACUGCUGAUCUGGAAUACGGUUGAGGAAGACAGAAUUCCUGGUGUAGCGGUGGAAUGCGCAGAGAUCAGGAGGAAUACCAAAUGCGAAGGCAGUCUUCUAGGCCGUUAUUGACGCUAAACUGCGAAGGUGUGGGGAUCAAAAAAAAUUAGAUACCCUGGUAGUCCACACAGUAAACGAUAAUCCGGGGGGUCGGGUUCAAAAUAAACUCGGUGCCGUAAGCUAACGCGUUAAGUGAUUCGCCUGGGGAGUACGAUCGCAAGGUUGAAACUCAAAGGAAUUGACGGGGCCCCGCACAAGCGGGGGAGCAUGUGGUUUAAUUCGAUGCAACGCGAAGAACCUUACCCGGUCUUGACAUCCGUAGGAUCCUUCAGAGAUGAGGGAGUGCCUUUCGGGGAACUACGAGACAGGUGCUGUAUGGCUGUCGUCAGCUCGUGUCGUGAGAUGUUGGGUUAAGUCCCGCAACGAGCGCAACCCCUGCAUCCAGUUGCCAUCAUUAGGUUGGGGACUCUGGAUGGACCACUGCGGUAACAACGCAGAGGAAGGUGGGGACGACGUCAAGCAAUCAUGGUCCUUACGACCGGGGCUACACACGUGCUACAAUGGUAGUUACAGAGGGUUGCGAAGCCGUAAGGUGGAGCUAAUCUCAUAAAAGCUACGCAAGUUCGGAUUGAGGUCUGCAACUCGACCUCAUGAAGCUGGAAUCGCUAGUAAUCGCACAACAUCAUGGUGCGGUGAAUACGUUCCCGGGCCUUGUACACACCGCCCGUCAAG
rnacentral:rRNA from 1 species